GCUUCACAGUGGUGCAGUGGGUAGCACUGUUGCCUUGCACCAUGAAGGUCCUGGGUUUGACUCCCAGCUGGGGGGCU